rnacentral:rRNA from 1 species
GUGUCAGCAGCCGCGGUAAGACGAACCGUGCGAACGUUAUUCGGAAUCACUGGGAUUAAAGGGCGCGUAGGCGGGCCGCACAGUCAGGGGUGAAAUCCUCCAGCUCAACUGGAGAAGUGCCUUUGAUACUGGCGGCCUCGAGGGGUGCAGGGGCGUGCGGAACUUCGGGUGGAGCGGUGAAAUGCGUAGAUAUCCGAAGGAACACCGGUGGCGAAGGCGGCACGCUGGACACCUUCUGACGCUGAGGCGCGAAAGCCAGGGGAGCAAACGGGAUUAGAAACCCCGGUAGUCC